CACUUCACCUCGCCAUUGCGCUUUCCAGGCUUUGCUCGCUGCUUCGGGGGCACUACUCCGCGCAGACUCGAGGAGGUCGUGGUGGCACAUCACACAACACAGGCGAGUGCGCACCUACGCAGACACAGACACACUAUCCUUUAGCACUGCUCACGCGAGCAAGCGAGGGAGCCUACCAGGAGCUCUUUCUGUUCGCGCUGCGCUGUCCGCGUGCCGCUCGCUCACCUCUUGCGUUGCCCACGCUUUCACUAUCCUGGGCAGCGCGUUGCACAUAAACCGUAGAGGUGCAUUCCUACGGCCCGACACACUCGCAGACAAGCAGCAAGACAGCACUCUCUCGCCUGAGCCUGUGUGACUGUUUCUCACACAUCCUUUGGUGAUGAUGCCCCUCACCCUUGUGGAUGCCUAUGCGCUGGCGCUGAGGACGCUGGACCCCGCCGCGUGGGAGCUGUUUGGCGCACUGGAAGAUCGCAUUCUACACUCAGCCGCAUUUCUGCUCGGCCGCGUGGAGCUGACCGCCUUGCGCCCAGCAGUGAAGGACAGUGCAACGGCUCUUUCACGCACCGCCGCCUCAUGCGUGCAGCCGACCGUGACGUCUGGGGUGCGCGACGCGGAGGGGACGGAUAUCGCAUCGGUGUCGGCGGAGAUGCUUCGUUACCUGCGCGAGACGCUCCAAGCAGGCGCUGCUCACACAUUCCAGACAAGGCUCGACUCACCAACGACGUCGGCGCCCGCACGUCUCGUGAAGGAUCUGUCACGCGUGCGUGAGCAGGUCGCCUCAGCGCAGUCGCCGUCUUCGUCUUCGCGCUGUCCUGGACUCGUACUCGCGGAGCUGAGCAUCUUAUGCCAAACCGUCCUAGCGUUGUCGGCGCUGUGGAUGAGCACAAAAUUUUGGGCAACGCUGUGUGAAAGCUCCACGCUGAGCGCCCUCGUCGCUUGCUUCCUCCGUCUCUCCUCGCCACCGAGCAAGGACGAAACCGUAGCCGCCUCGUACCUACAAUGCGGCACCGUGGGGCCAGUGGCAAGCGCCGAGCGGGGUCCGUGCACAGAUGAUGCUCCGGACGUCGUUCCGAUGGAGCCGGCGAACGCGGACCAGUUGUGCCUCGCCUCCACACCGCCGUCCUCAUCCUUGGCACCUGUGCCCUUAGAGCAGCGCUCUUGCGAGGAGACUUGCAGUGCGCAGGCAGGGGUCGCUGGUGGGCUUGAGGGCGGUGCUGCCUGUGUGUCUAGCGAGAUCAUCAACGGCUACGAAGACAUAUCGUGCAGCCCGCUGGCUCCCAUGACGUGGCUCGACGGCAAUGUUGCGGAUGCGGCGGAGUCGCUGGCGAGGGACAUCGAGGACGUCGAGAUAAUUUUGCUCCGCUGCAGCGAGUACGCGGUUCCCGUGUGAAGGCGCUCUUUCGUGUGCUUCGAUUAGAGGCGGGAGACAUGCGUGCAGGUGACGCCGUGCAUGUGUGCCUGUGUGCCUGUGUGCAUGUGGUGGUGCACUGAUGACUGGCAGUCCGCUCUCCUCAGUAGCGGGGUGCAGUGGCAACAAUUUUUGCCGGUCCUCUUUCCAGAGAGCGUGCAGUCUCUCGCGAGGUUAGAGGGGCGCCACGGACAGUCCCUCGUUGAUCGGCGAGCGCGAGAUGCUCGGCGUUUCUUCAACAAGUGCUGCAACCUUUCGUGAGGGAGCUCUGUCCGCGGCACAUGAGAAAGAUGUGCCUUUAACCAGCGAACUGUAGGAUGGGCUGUGCGAUGAUGCUGAGGAGGUCGUCGACAGGCCAACAGCUUCUUGCCGCCCGCUUUCAAAGCAGGUGCCGUAAAAAAAAAACAGAAGCGGGCAGAGACGUGGCGGCAACACCUCCGCGCAGGCGGCCGCCUUGCUUCCUUGCCAACUAAACGAGCUGGCAGAAGACGGCAAGCGUGGGAAAGGGCUGGAGCGAGGGAGGAGCAACGAGCGUUACUUUUUCCUGCGAUGGUGCUGCUCUCGCGGCGGUGCCCGAUAGCUCGCUGCCACCCCCGCCUCCCUCACCCUCUCGCCAUCACUAACACAUCGCUUUUUCCCCCCCUCUCUGAGCCGCGCUUCUCGCAGAACGGGCCUGUGCGUGCGGACCGGCUUGCUACUUCUCACGCAAGGAUAAGAGCGCAGAAAGCCAAUCUCGGAGCCAUGCGCGCCCGUGUGUCCCUCUCUCUCUUUGGGCGCGCUUGGUUGGCCGGGCACUGGAGUCCUGUUUUGUGAGCUUGACAUCCUUUCUGUUUCGCUUAGCCGCCUCACUUCUCUCUGGCUCUCCACCUCUUUUCUCUCGUCCUUUCUUUCCUCUCACGCGUGCUGUGCGCCACUCCCACACGCAUCGCGCUGCUGCUCCGUGCAUCCCUCACGCUCGUCUCCUCUCUGUGACCCCCGCCCGCCGCGCGCCGACAG
rnacentral:misc_RNA from 1 species